rnacentral:rRNA from 1 species
GACGAACCGUGCGAACGUUGUUCGGAUUCACUGGGCUUAAAGGGCGCGUAGGCGGCUUGCCAAGUCAGGGGUGAAAUCUUUCGGCUCAACCGGAAAAGUGCUUCUGAUACUGGCGGGCUGGAGGAGGGUAGGGGCAGAUGGAACUUCCGGUGGAGCGGUGAAAUGCGUAGAUAUCGGAAGGAACGCCGGUGGCGAAAGCGAUCUGCUGGACCCUUCUGACGCUGAGGCGCGAAAGCCAGGGGAGCAAACGGG